UACAUUUUGGUGUAUGGUGCACAAGAAUUUUUGAUAUUCUAAGAAAUAGUUUAAAUCUAUUAAAUGUAG
rnacentral:tRNA from 1 species